CGUUGUAACAAUUGCAUGCAGGCCCACCGAAGCCAGAUGAUUUUUACAAGUUUGUCAGAUGUAACUUUGGUCCUUAAUAACUUCCAGUCUAUAUAGAAAUUGGCCAGUAACCCAGUAGGAGGUGUGACAAUCCAUCUAAGCUGCUGAGAAACACUACCACAGUCCAGUUCAGAUCCAGCCCAUCUCUUCAACCUGGAGGUCUGUUUGGAGAAAGUUCAAAGACAGUCAUCUGGAGGAGACCGUAUCAUCUUGUGUUUCCUACAAGGCAGCUUCCUACAAUGGCUAUUACUGUCUGCAUGAAUCUGACCACAGCUGAAGAAUAAUCUUUGAGCUUCUGUAAACUGCCAUAUACAUUUGGUUCUGAUUUAUAUAAUGCUGCCCUACUGGAAGUUGGGGCUGCUCUUGGUCCCAGGACAAGGCAGUCAGAACCAGCCAAAUAAAAACUGUUUGUCACCUUU